UCCUCAGUAGCUUAGUGGUAGAGCGGUCGGUUGUUGACUAACUAGUCGUGGGUUUAAAUCCUACUUGGGGAG
rnacentral:tRNA from 1 species